CUCGUUUAAACAUAUUGCAUCCGACUCCGUCGUCCCGAGAAAGGAGCGACUCUCUCAUUUUUCUACGGUUUCAGAGCUCUCUCAAUCAAUCAAUGGCCCACCAUUCAUCUCCCCAUCUAACCUCCAAGACCUCCUACGGAUGUGACGACAUCAUCCGACUCUUUAUCGAAUCCCCAGCAGAUGAAGAGAGUUCAGUAGCCACACAGUUCUGGAGAAGAUGGACGGCCGCACGAUGACCUCAUCAGAGAGAUCCGACCUUGAAUGAAUCUGAUAUUCCUUUUAAAAAAGGGCGUCCAUGGCUGCUAAUCGGGAUGUGACUAUGUGUGCACAUCUAAGAUGAACUUGGGUGAUGAGGUUGACUUGGAAGACUGUUUCUCGACUGAAUAAAAUUAGUGCUGCAGAGGGGAUCAAGUGGCAGCCAAAUGGAAUUAUGAAAAUCAUUGACAGGAAAAAGAACAUUUUAAAGCUUUCAUAAGGAUAAUAUGUUCCUGUUGAAAA